rnacentral:rRNA from 1 species
GGAUGCGAUCAUACCAGCACUAAUGCACCGGAUCCCAUCAGAACUCUGAAGUGAAGCGUGCUUGGGCGAGAGUAGUACUAGGAUGGGUGACCCCCUGGGAAGUCAUCGUGUUGCAUCCC